UACGUAGGGUGCAAGCGUUGUCCGGAAUUAUUGGGCGUAAAGAGCUUGUAGGCGGUUUGUCGCGUCUGCUGUGAAAUUUCGGGGCUCAACCCCGAACUUGCAGUGGGUACGGGCAGGCUAGAGUGUGGUAGGGGAGACUGGAAUUCCUGGUGUAGCGGUGAAAUGCGCAGAUAUCAGGAGGAACACCGAUGGCGAAGGCGGGUCUCUGGGCCGAUACUGACGCUGAGGAGCGAAAGCGUGGGGAGCGAACAGG
rnacentral:rRNA from 1 species